CAACGCCGGUGCCUGAGGAGCGAUGCCGAGGGAAAUCAUCACCCUACAGUUGGGCCAGUGCGGCAAUCAGAGCAGACGAUGAGCACUACAUCCCCCGGGCCGUGCUGCUGGACUUGGAACCCCGGGUGAUCCACUCCAUCCUCAACUCCCCCUAUGCCAAGCUCUACAACCCAGAGAACAUCUACCUGUCGGAACAUGGAGGAGGAGCUGGCAACAACUGGGCCAGCGGAUUCUCCCAGGUCGUUUCCUAUUCCCUGGCAGGGCCCACAACUCGCUGGGUAGGGACAGGCUCUAUGACGUCCCGAAGAGAGGGAAAACCGGAUCAGGGAUGUAUGAAUGCUGGAGGGAGAGACCUGGCUGCAGGGAGUGGACUAUGUAAUAUUGUCAAGCGCCUACACUAGCUAAUGCAGUGUGCCAGGUCAUUCUAAGUGCUUUACAUAUAUUAAUUUUUCUAAAUCUCCCAACAACCCUAGAAGUAAGUACUACAGGUCCACAGUCCCUUAUCUGCCUUUCCAGGAUCCAGAAAGCCAUGAAACCAAAGGACAUUUCAUAACUAGUUUAUCAGCAAAAACAAAUUUCAAUGAAGACAGGCUGUUUUAUAGUUUCUUUUUUUUAAUUUUUAUUUAUUUAUUUUUUUUGAGACGGAGUCUCACUCUGUCGCCCAGGCUGGAGUGCAGUGGCACGCUCUCAGCUCACUGCAACCUCUGCUGCCCGGGUUCAAGCGAUUCUCCUGCCUCAGCCUCCCGAGUAGCUGGGAUUACAGGUGCUUGCCAUCACGCCUGGCUAAUUUUUGUAUUUUUAGUAGAGACGGGGUUUUACUGUGUUAGCCAGGGUGGUCUUGAUCUCCUGACCUCGUGAUCCACCUGCCUCGGCCUCCCAAAGUGCUGGGAUUGCAGGCGUGAACCGCCAUGCCCGG
rnacentral:lncRNA from 10 species